ensembl:piRNA 21ur-2140 ncRNA
ACGAGUCACAAAUAUGAAAAG